rnacentral:lncRNA from 1 species
CCCCGGCCCUAGCCUGUCCCCAGACCCUGGACCAAGGCCCCGGCCCUGCCCCGAACCCCUCAUCCCACCCCCAGGACCCAGGCCCCGACCCUGGCCACCCAGGACAAACUCCCACCCCACACCCGGGACCAAGGCCCCGGCCCUGCCCCGAAGGCCCCACCGGGGACCCAGGCCCCGGCCCUGCCCCAAACUCCCACCCCACACCCGGGACCAAGGCCCCGGCCCUGCCCCGAACGCCCCACCCGGGACCCAGGCCCCGGCCCUGCCCCA